ACUCGGAUGACGAGUCCUAAAUAGGACGAAAUGCACAUACUGAAU
rnacentral:hammerhead_ribozyme from 1 species